UUGUCCCAUAGCUCUGCCUCUUUUCCAUUUUUUGUUAUUCCUGGCUGGACCCUGGGCGUGGUCCAACCCCUCUGCUUGUCUGAGGAGGCUGAUGGGUGCUGUUAUGACUCCUGGUGCUGCCUACCACCUGUAGAUGUGGGGGACAGUGCCAUGGGUGAAGGCUCUCAGCUUCCUGGUGUCUUAGGAAGCAGCUGGCCCUUACUGCACCCUGGCAAAAACAAAGCUGGCAAAGGACCCCAGGGACAGGCUGUGAAGGGCUGCAGAUGCGAAGUGUCUGGCCAGCACAAAACCAAUGAACUUCGGGUUAAUACAGCCACGUGCAGAUCAAAUAUGCAGCUUUCUGCUGUGUGAGAUACAUUGGAGAUAAGGUCAAGAGUACCGGCUCACAGAUAACUCCCAUAACGCUCUUGUCCCACUUUCAGUGGAAGCAUCCAUAUUUUCCAAGGCAUGAAAGCCCACAUCAGGAAGAAAUUCUGUUCUGAAGUGUACUUGAAACUUCAGGAUUCUUGGUACCAAAGGAGUAUCACUCAGUGAUAUUUAAGUGAACGAAGAGAGUAGAUUUGGUGAAUUUUAUGACAUACAGUUUGUUUCCAAGUCAACUGUAAGAAUGCAUCAAAUAAGCUUUGAGCAAUAUUUGAGAACCCUCAGAGGCAUAUAUUUUUAUUGCUUCAGGAAAGGAUGAUCUGUGCAAAUAUUACAUUCCUAUAAUCACAUCACAUAUUGCAUUAAAGCUGAACUUAUCUAUGCAUUCUAUAUGAUUAAUCAACAGUGCAAUGCAUGGUGAUCCAUGUGUGCAUACAUGAGUACAAAGCUUUAGCAAGUAUUUGACCCUUCUCAAACAGGACUUCAUACUGGCUAUUGGAAAAAAUUAAAGCACCAGCAAGAAAUCACUGUACCUUCUCCACUACAAAA